GACGAACGCUGGCGGCGUGCCUAACACAUGCAAGUUGAGCGACGAACCAGGGCUUGCCCUGGGGCAAAGCAGCGAACGGGUGAGUAACACGUGGGUAACCUACCCCGAUAACCGGGACAACCCGAGGAAACUCGGGCUAAUACCGGAUGUGCUCACUGGACUUCGGUUCAGUGCGUAAAGGAAGCUUCGGCCUCCGUAUCGGGAGGGGCCCGCGGCCGCUUAGUUUGUUGGUGAGGUAACGGCUCACCAAGACCGCGAUGGGUAGCUGGUCUGAGAGGACGAGCAGCCACGCUGGGACUGAGACACGGCCCAGACUCCUACGGGAGGCAGCAGUGGGGAAUGUUGCGCAAUGCGCGAAAGCGGGACGCAGCAACGCCGCGUGGGGAAGAAGGCCUUCGGGUGGGAAACCCCUUUCAGGAGGGACGAAGGUUCGGCGGUGAAUAGCCGUCCGGACUGACGGUACCUCCACAAGAAGCCCCGGCUAACUACGU
rnacentral:rRNA from 1 species